rnacentral:lncRNA from 1 species
AUGCGCGAGCAGCUGCUUUCAAACCCAACUGCUCAAUUCCAUUCAUCCUCGAGAGGGAACAAAAAAAGUGGCUAUUUAUUAGAAUACUUGUUUUGUAUUGUUCCGCGUCACACAAAAGGGGCUUUAUUAUUGUGUAGUGAGUGGUGGGACUGGGAGCUGGGUAUAGCUGGCCUUGGCACACUAAGCGUAGAUUUUAGCAAGGAUGGCGGUCUGGCGAGUGGCUUUGGCUGGGUUAGGACAGCGAUAGAACCGAGAGGUCUGUGUAAGGAUGAUUGUGAGAGACUCUGCUGGAAUUUGGCAGGCCCGCAGCUUGGAGAGGUGCCCCACGCUGUGACUCCCAUUCAGCGGUCCAGCGCGCUGUGAGGUUGGGAAGUUUCACUGAGCCGUGCACUCAAUGGCUCCACAAAGCUGAUUACAAGCCCCAGCGAAUUCCUGAAGAGACCGGGCAGCCACGCAGGUGUGCGGGAAACCGGGGCAACCCUUCAGAGUUAUAGUGACAGAGCAAGACAACCCGGGAGACCACACAAAAAGCAAAGCGUCCCGGGAAGCGGCCAGGGAUUUGGUGGGAAAAGAACACCUCAAAUGCCCUCUCUUGUGCGAAAAGGGAAGGGAAGAGAAACUUUCCGAAGGCUUAUUAAAACGAUGCCCAGUCUCCUCAAGAUAGUGAACUAAAAUGACU